AUGUCAAGGCAUGUGGCUGGUUCAGAGCACUGGUGCCUCCCAGUUUGGGCACAGCUGGACUGGGAUGCACAGCGGGUUCAGGGCAUGGGUCCCUCCUGGUUCAGGCACAGCUCGACUGGGAUGCACGGCUGGUUCAGAGCACUAGUGCUUCCCAGUUCGGGCACAGCUGGACUGGGAUGCACAGCUGGCUCAGAGCACUGGUGCCUCCCAGUUCGGGCACAGCUGGACUGGGGUGCACAGCUGGUUCAGAGCACUGGUGCCUCCCAGUUCGGGCACAGCUGGACUGGGCUGCACAGCUGGUUCAGAGCACUGGUGCCUCCCAGUUCAGGCACAGCUGGACUGGGGUGCACAGCUGGUUCAGAGCACUGGUUCCUCCUGGUUCAGGCACAGCUGGUUCAGUGCACAGGUCCCUCCCAGUUUGGGCACAGCUGGACUGGGAUGCACAGCUGGACUGGGACGCAGGUCCCUCUGGGCUUGGCUGCAGCUUCGCUAGGGUGGAAAUUCCUCCCAAUUCAGGGCACAACCAGUUCAGGAUGCGGGUCCCUCCCGGUUCAGGACUGGAGCAGGAUGCGGGUCCCUCCCAGUUCGGGCACAGCCGGUUCAAGAUGUGGCCCCUCUUGGUUCAGGACCGGAGCAGGAUGCGGGUCUUCCCGGUUCAGGACCGGGUUCAGGAUACGAGUUCCUCCCAGCCCGGGGAUCCCAGGGUGCUGCCGGUUCAAGACGUGGGUCCCUCCCGGUUCAGGACCAGAGCGGGAUGCGGGUCCCUCCUGGCUGGGGACCGGAGCGGGAUGCGGCUCCCUCCCGGUUUGGGGUGCAGCCGGAUCAAGAUGCGGGUUCCUCCUGGUUCAGAACCGGAGCAGGAUGCGGGUCCCUCCCGGCCCGGGGGCUGGAGUGCAGCCAGUUCAGGUUACGGGUCCGUCCCGGUUCAGGACCGGAGCGGGAUGCUGGUCGUUCCCGGUUGGGGACCGAUUCGGGAUGCGGGUCCCUCCCGGCCCGGGGGCCGGAGCGGGAUGCGGGUCCCUCCCGGCCCGGAGUGCAGCCGGUGCCGCG
rnacentral:lncRNA from 1 species